rnacentral:rRNA from 1 species
GACGAACGCUGGCGGCGUGCCUAACACAUGCAAGUCGAACGAGGUCCAUGAGAGCUUGCUCUCAGAAGACCUAGUGGCGAACGGGUGAGUAACACGUGAGAAACCUGCCUCGGAGUGGGGAAUAACUCGGGGAAACUCGAGCUAAUACCGCAUAUCUUCACAUGAUCGCAUGGUCGAGUGAAGAAAGAAUUUCGCUCUGAGAGGGUCUCGCGGCCUAUCAGCUUGUUGGUGGGGUAACGGCCCACCAAGGCAACGACGGGUAGCUGGUUUGAGAGAACGAUCAGCCACACUGGGACUGAGACACGGCCCAGACUCCUACGGGAGGCAGCAGUGGGGAAUCUUGCGCAAUGGGCGAAAGCCUGACGCAGCAACGCCGCGUGCGGGAUGAC